CAGCGCCACCUCUGCUUCCCGAUCGCAACCCUCUACUUUCUCCACAACAACUUUCCCCACUUCAUCUUCUCCAAAUUAAGUCCAUUAAAUUGUGGAAGUGGAAAGGAUGCAGCUAUAUAUUUACAUGGGGGCCGUCGAUCGAUCACAUCAGAGUCAAUAAGACGAGACGUGGAGGUUGAGAUUCAAGUCAAGGUUCAGACCAGCGGCGGAGGCGGAGCGGCGGCUCGUCGGCGCGGCGGCCUUCGCGGUGGUCGUGGUUCAGGUAAAGGUUCGGAUCGGCGGAAGAGACGGAGCGACGGCUCGCCGGCGCGGCGGCCUCCUCGAUGGUCGUGGUUCAGGUAAAGAUUCGGAUCGGCGGAAGAGAUGGAGCGACGGCUCGCCGGCGUGGCAGCCUCCUUGGUGGUCGUCCUCCAUCUGUUGGUGUUGCUGCUCGGCGCGGAGGCCUCCUCGGUGGUCGUGGUUCAGGUAAAGGUUCGGAUCAGCGGAAGAGACGAAGCGACGGCUCAUCGGCGCAGCGGCCUCCGCGGUGGUCGUGGUUCAGGUAAAGGUUCGGAUCGUCGGAAGAGACGGAGCGACGGCUCGCCGGUGCGGCGGCCUCCUUGAUGGUCGUGGUUAAGGUAAAGGUUCAGAUCGGCGGAAGAGAUGGAGCGACGGCUCGCCGGCGUGGCAGCCUCCUUGGUGGUCGUGCUACAUCCGUUGGUGUUGCUGCUCGCAGCCAUGGCCUCCUAAUCCCACCGUCUGGUCAGCGGCGUCAGUUCACACCCUGCCGCUGUCUACUUCUGAUGCGUGCUUAUCAAUUUCCUGCACAUUCGCUGCUUAACUCACCCAUGCAUCCGUCCUCUUAUUCUCCUUCGAUGCAGGGCUCCGCGUUGCUCUGUCCUACGCACUACCGUCACCAUCCACACCUAAUCGACUAGGCUGCACUGCAGCAAGCAUUAGCAUCAGCCAAUGGAAUUGCUGGCUUCGUCAAAAGGAGGAUAGCUGCUGCCUCAGAUUUUCAUGGGACAACUGCAUCAUGAUCUGUUGCGAUGAGAAGAGACACUAGCAGUUAAGACUCAAGAGCAUAUGUACACCCGAGAUACCAGAUAAUAUUUAAGUUUCAGAUUUGUUAUUGAUCUGAUAUUUGCUCUAACAGGAUGCAUCACUCAUGUUACUAUACUAAAUUUCUUUGUGAUAUACAAUGCCACCAUCCACUAGAGGUUACUUUUGUCUGGAUGAUAGGGUAAAAAAACUUUUGUCUGCAUUAGUUCUCUUCCAAUCAUUCUCAUAUUUUAACAUUGUGAGUCACUUCGGCAUAUGUGCGCACCCAAGAUUGUUGGAAGUAUGCGCUGAACAGUUGAAGAUGAUACAAAAAUAGUUGAAGAAAGGUCAACGUAUUUCUCCAUCCAUUCCCAUUAGUCUUGCAUCGACCAAAACAUAGUACUAUGAAACAGCAUGCAUAUAUUGUUUGAAGAAUGUUGCCAAAAUUCCAGUGGAUAAGCAUAAGGUUCAGUUCUACACCUUUAGUCUAAUUAUAUCCGGCUAUGCGAAAUCGGUAAGAUUUAAUUCAUUGUUCUCUCUUUAUUGUCACAGCUGUUAGGUUUACGUACACGUUGUUGUUUUGGAACAGGUUAUCAUUACUUCCCAAACCAGGACUAUUACAGACUUACAAUUUUAAUUAAAAAAAGAUAUAAUGCAUAAUAUGCAGAUGGAUUGUCAUGUUUAUUUAUUGACUCAAAGUUCAUCACCAUGCUAAAUUUAACAGCUUUCUCCCAUGAAUGGUAUUGCAUUAUUAAGUAAAAAUUGUUUCACCAUUUUAUUUCAUUAUGAUACUUAUUUUUCACGCUAAUUGUUUUAUAAUAUUACCUUAACUAAAUGUAAUAAAGGUUGAUUUUGUGUGUGCAGGAUUUAUGGUACAAAUUGAAUUGGCAAUUUCUGCUCUCACCAUCAUCAACUCUUCUUACCUUAUCCUAUUUUCGGUCUAUUUAUUUGUUCUUUGUGGGCAAGAUGUUUCCGGUGCACAAAUGGUUGGUGGUGUCACUAUAUUUUGUCAAUGCGAACUGAAACAAGAAAUGUUCAUAUGUUUUUGAAAGGAAAUGUUAUGUAUUUUUCUAGCCAAUUGUGCAUUGUUCAAUCUCAUGAAAUAGUUUUAUUUUAGCUGAGAGACGACAUGGUUAACAAGAAUAUCCAAAUCCUUUGUAUUU